rnacentral:rRNA from 1 species
AGAAUCAACGCUGGCGGCGUGCCUAACACAUGCAAGUCGAACGAGAAAGGGUAGCAAUACCUGAGUAAAGUGGCGCACGGGUGAGUAACACGUGACUAACCUACCUUUUAGUGGGGGAUAACCUAGGGAAACCUGGGCUAAUACCGCAUAAUACCUACGGGUCAAAGCAGCAAUGCGCUGGAAGAGGGGGUCGCGGCCGAUUAGCUAGUUGGCGGGGUAAUGGCCCACCAAGGCAGUGAUCGGUAUCCGGCCUGAGAGGGCGCACGGACACACUGGAACUGAAACACGGUCCAGACUCCUACGGGAGGCAGCAGUGGGGAAUUUUGCGCAAUGGGGGAAACCCUGACGCAGCAACGCCGCGUGGAGGAUGAAGACCCUUGGGUCGUAAACUCCUUUCGAUCGGGACGAUAAUGACGGUACCGGAAGAAGAAGCCCCGGCUAACUUCGUGCCAGCAGCCGC